UUUGCGUUUCAAAAGGUCAACGGGAUCGACGUAGGAGAGACAGAGAGCGGAAGAAUGUUGCUUUCCGGCUGGGACAGACCAGAAAUUUCCCACGUGCUGUUUUCUUCCAAGUCACGUUGUUGCCUGCCCGUCGGAACCCGCACUGUGGACUAUUAUGUUAUAUUCUAUCCAAAAUUCUCUCUAAACUCCUGGUUUGGAGGCGCGUCUCCGUUGAACUCUAAGGCGCAUCUCCCAAAUGAUUGGUUAGAUAUUAGUCCCAUCUUCUAAUGUUUAUCAGGUAUUAGCCAUGGGUCACAAUAGGCCGUGAAGGUGUGUUAUGUGUCCCAAAACCUAAUACUAAGAACCAUGCUCGAUGUACACAGACCUUCAAUCCUUG
rnacentral:lncRNA from 1 species